GGCCAAGACACUUCAUUUGGAUGACUGACUAAAUAAAAGGCUUGGAAGCUGUAAAUAAAGGGAACCCACACCAAGUCUCCAAAAGCCAGCAUGAAUCCAAAUCCAUCGUGGAUGAUGUCCAUGGUCGUCAACAACGCUUCCUCAUUCCAGAGAGCAUCCACCACAUAGAGAAGCUGGAAACUAUUAACUAAAAUCAUGGCCAAGGAUGGAACAGCGCGGUCCUGUAUUUUCAUUUCAGCCAAAAGCAUCACCAAGUUAAUAACCACCCAUCCAAUCAAUCCGGGGCGCAAUUCACAAAAGUAUUUGAGAUCAAAAGUACCAAUUCGAGGGUUUAAUUCACGGCCAAUGAAGAAAUCAUAGACAGCAUUUCCUGAGAAAGGAAAAGUGUUUACCCAAACAGCAUUCCAAACCCAGUCAGGAGGCUUUACAACGGCACUGCCGCCCACUAUCCAGG
rnacentral:lncRNA from 1 species